rnacentral:rRNA from 1 species
GGAUCCAGACUUUGAUCAUGGCUCAGAUUGAACGCUGGCGGCAGGCCUAACACAUGCAAGUCGAGCGGAAACGGCAACAUUGACUCUUCGGAUGAUUUGUUGGACGUCGAGCGGCGGACGGGUGAGUAAUGCUUAGGAAUUUGCCCAGUCGAGGGGGAUAACUAUUGGAAACGAUAGCUAAUACCGCAUACGCCCUACGGGGGAAAAGAGGGGACCUUCGGGCCUUCUGCGAUUGGAUAAGCCUAAGUGAGAUUAGCUAGUUGGUGAGGUAAUGGCUCACCAAGGCGACGAUCUCUAGCUGGUCUGAGAGGAUGAUCAGCCACACUGGAACUGAGACACGGUCCAGACUCCUACGGGAGGCAGCAGUGGGGAAUAUUGCACAAUGGGCGCAAGCCUGAUGCAGCCAUGCCGCGUGUGUGAAGAAGGCCUUCGGGUUGUAAAGCACUUUC